CUGCUGGGAUAGUAAAGCAGCAUCCCCACGCAAAUUGCACCUCUGGCUGCUGGAUUUGGAUUGAACAGUGGUAUAACCAUGAACUUGAGUAUGUUUUGGUUGGUUGGUUGGUGAUGAGUCAACUGAGCAGCUAUGGAGGAUUUUCAAGAACAAUUGGCCUUAAGACUCUUGAAUCUCAUUUUAAGAUUGUGGUAAGACUGUCCUUGCUCUCUCCUCAAUCUUUACAUAACAGUUGCCAACACAGAAGGAUGAAGAAGAGCACAUGUAAGACUUCCAUUCAUUCAGUGAAUGAAUGUGCAAGAUGUGUUCAUGUGCAAGAUGCUGUUGCCACGCCAGCACUGUUGGGACUUGCUUGGAAGGUAUCAGCUUCUUCAUCCUUAACAUGAUAAUGAUCUGGAUGAGAUCCUGCACAAGGCUUCCCCCAGCUUCAAGUUUUGGUGAAGAGCUACUAACUUUCAGCAUUUGUUCAUGAAAAAUAAUUCUGACAGCAUUAUUACUUGGAAUAUUUUCCAUGAAAUACACAAAAGAAUUACUUCUGUGAAUAUAGUUUUGAAUUAUAUGAAGAUGUUUGCAAAAUCUUAUUUUUAUUUAGCCAUCAGUAAAUUUCUUAUCAUUAUUUAUUCCUGUUUCAAUUCACCAAAUGUACUAUUGCUUGGAAACUUGUACUCAAGAAACACUAAACUAAUCAAGUCUAUAUUCAGGCAAGUGUAAUCAGUUAUGUAGUUAAUUAUGUAUAUAAAUUUCUUUUUGGAUCCCUUGCUGUUUAAGCUCUGAGAUUUAAAACUGUUAUUUGGAACUGGAAAGCAAAAUUUAGUGCCAGGCAUUAGACUUUUUUUCCUCCUGCUCAGUUGCAGAAAAGUAUAAGAUACUAAAUCUUGACUUAGUAGUGCAGUUAUAAAAUGUCAUAUUUUCCAAAUAAUCCUUUGUGUGUAUGCACAUACACACGCACACAUAUUGCUCAGAGGAAUAUGCAAAUACUGUUAAAUGUAUUACAAUUUUGGCCAGAAACAAAGCCCCUGGCAAAAGACUGAGAGAAUCCAAAGCAUUUUGCCACUUUUAAACCUGCUUCUAUUCCUCUUCUGAUUUAUGGCUCUAGCAGGAGCCACCAUUACCGUACUGCAUGGAUGGCAU